rnacentral:rRNA from 1 species
GACGAACGCUGGCGGCGUGCUUAACACAUGCAAGUCGAACGGAAAGGCCCUGCUUUUGUGGGUUGCUCGAGUGGCGAACGGGUGAGUAACACGUGAGUAACCUGCCCUUGACUUUGGGAUAACUUCAGGAAACUGGGGCUAAUACCGGAUAUGAGCUCCUGCUGCAUGGUGGGGGUUGGAAAGUUUCGGCGGUUGGGGAUGGACUCGCGGCUUAUCAGCUUGUUGGUGGGGUAGUGGCUUACCAAGGCUUUGACGGGUAGCCGGCCUGAGAGGGUGACCGGCCACAUUGGGACUGAGAUACGGCCCAGACUCCUACGGGAGGCAGCAGUGGGGAAUAUUGCACAAUGGGUGGAAGCCUGAUGCAGCAACGCCGCGUGCGGGAUGACGGCCUUCGGGUUGUAAACCGCUUUCGCCUGUGACGAAGCGUGAGUGACGGUAAUGGGUAAAGAAGCACCGGCUAACUACGUG